AGUCCCUGUCUUUUUAAUAUAGUUAGUUGCCCUGUCAGCGUCAGCGCUUCAGGUUUUAGCUCACGGAAUCAGAUUUAUUGCCACAUGCGUUAACAACAAAAUCUACCCCACCUCUUAGUAAAAACUUUUCUUUUUUUACCUUUAGGAGAUAGACCUGUACCUAAAUAGAGGUACUUCCAUUAUACUUCAGUGAGUUUUAUGACAUUUGCCCUGAUACUGUUUAUGCUUUCCUUCUCUCAUUUUAGUAUCUUUUUGAGUAUGUUAGUAACAGUUUGAACUUUUAUACAUUUAUGAAGACCUUUCUGUCAAUGUUAAAUUAUUUCGUGUAUAUUUUUUGUUCUACUCACAGACUUAAAAUCGUACAUACCAUUUUCCAUAUAUGUUAAUUUAGAACGUUUAGUAGCAGAGGAACUUACUCCAAAUCAUUUGACCACUUGGUUGGAGAGAUAAGGUCUUAAAGGAAUUGAUCACUCAAGGCAUCAAGCAUCUGUAAUCCAUGCUCCAGAAUCAAUACCAGGUGUGGUAUGACCACACUUAAUCCUUUUAAACCUGAGCAGUUUUUCCUGAUACUCAG
rnacentral:lncRNA from 1 species